rnacentral:rRNA from 1 species
GGACUACUGGGGUAUCUAAUCCUGUUUGCUCCCCACGCUUUCGCACCUCAGCGUCAGUACCGGACCAGUGGGCCGCCUUCGCCACUGGUGUUCUUCCUAAUAUCUACGAAUUUCACCUCUACACUAGGAAUUCCACCCACCUCUUCCGGACUCGAGAUUUGCUGUAUCAAAGGCAGUUCCGAGGUUGAGCCCCGGGAUUUCACCCCUGACUGGCAAAUCCGCCUACGUGCGCUUUACGCCCAGUGAUUCCGAACAACGCUAGCCCCCUUCGUAUUACCGCGGCGGCUGGCAC